rnacentral:rRNA from 1 species
CCUACGGGGAAGGCAGCAGUGGGGAAUAUUGCACAAUGGGCGSMAGCCUGAUGCAGCCAUGCCGCGUGUAUGAAGAAGGCCUUCGGGUUGUAAAGUACUUUCAGCGGGGAGGAAGGGGUUAAGGUUAAUAACCUUAKCCAUUGACGUUACCCGCAGAAGAAGCACCGGCUAACUCCGUGCCAGCAGCCGCGGUAAUACGGAGGGUGCAAGCGUUAAUCGGAAUUACUGGGCGUAAAGCGCACGCAGGCGGUCUGUCAAGUCGGAUGUGAAAUCCCCGGGCUCAACCUGGGAACUGCAUYCGAAACUGGCAGGCUAGAGUCUUGUAGAGGGGGGUAGAAUUCCAGGUGUAGCGGUGAAAUGCGUAGAGAUCUGGAGGAAUACCGGUGGCGAAGGCGGCCCCCUGGACGAAGACUGACGCUCAGGUGCGAAAGCGUNGGGGAGCAAACAGGAUUAGAUACCCUGGUAGUCCACGCCGUAAACGAUGUCGAYUUGGAGGUUGUGCCCUUGAGGYGUGGCUUCCGGAGCUAACGCGUUAAAUCGACCGCCUGGGGAGUACGGCCGCAAGGUUAAAACUCAAAUGAAA